rnacentral:piRNA from 1 species
UACACCCAUAUGGAAGGAACGAGGGUUGCU